CGACCUUUUUUUAGGUUUUAGAUUUAGGUUAUGUUGUUAGGAAUCAUUGUCACCAAUACAGAUUAUCGACGACCUGGAAAAGUUCAGCUGUGUACGAAUACCAGAAGAUGAAAAAUGUAACGAAUAUCUAAAGAGUAAACUAAGGUGCCACAAGUGUUCUCACUGUCCUCCAAAUAUGCCUGCUCUUAAAAAACAUUUGGAAACACAUAAUAAAUAACAUAUUAUU